AGAGCAUGCAACCAAGGGGUUUUGCAUGGACUUCCUGCUGGGAGCUCCAGUCCAGGGGGCACAACUUUCCACAAGAGAGAAGAAGCAAUUGCUGUAUUCAGGUUAACCUGCUGUCUGUGCUCUCAUGUGCUACCACUAUGUUAAGGGUCCUAAGAAGCUGCUGAUAAUGAGACUGAAAGGUGCUGAGACAGCAGAACACGAGGGGUGUAGAAGUACAACAAUGACAUGUUCUGCAGCUGACUCAGGAACUCCAGAACAAGCUUCACUGACCCAAGAACCUCCAAGGCAAUGUCACUUCACUCAUGUUAGUAUGCAUGGCUGUGCUGCUGGAGCUGCAGAGAAAGCCUCCAGAGCCUGGCAUGUCAGCAUGAUGCCAGCAAUGACAUCAUCUCUCAGUGAACCCUUGAAGAACCUCAUAAGUUUGGAUUGGGCUGAGCAGAUCUGGACAGGUGCUGGUGUGUGGUCAGGCAGAGCUUUCCAGGAGCAAGGCAGAAUAUUGUCCCACCACAGACUCAUGGAACACAGCGUGGCCCUGGAGCCUCGGUGCACCCACUUGGGUGAGCUCAUUCCUCUGCUACAGCUCCCAGGAGCCACUUCUUGCUGCUUCUGCCUUUGGCAGAGUGAAAGGGGUAACUGAACUGGAGGAGGCAAGCAGAACCUCACUGUCCAGGGGCAAAUGCGUCAGGGAAAGAAGCAGGUUGACUUUAAAAGUGUGACGAUGUAUUUAACCAAGUUGACAAAAUAGGAAGAAAGAACAAAGAAACAAACUCAAGGCAAACUGCAUUUGAUCUGGAAAUUAUUAAUAUUUGAGACAAUAAAGGCAGACCCCCUAAAUACUAUUUGCAUAGAAACCCUCCUCAUAGCCAAACCACACUCUAAAGCACUUCAUCUCGAAAGAGCUCUGCCGAAUUGAAACUGAACUACUAGCAUGACUAGAGGGUUUUGGUGCCAAAAGAUGUCAGAUUGAACACAAAACAGAAUUUUCAUUCUUUUGUGUCCUCCAUAAAUAUUAACAACUUGACACCCCAUAAUGAAAGCAAAAAGCACUUAAGCACGGGCAGAAAAACAAAACUAGCCAACCAUUCUUCUUUUAGGAUUACAAUUGGAAAUUAGCUGUAGAGGUCAGAGUUUUCCAGCACCACUGUAGGUUGGGAUUAACUCCAUGGACAUCGUGCACCCAAGAGGAGAAUUUGACCUUGCGUGGUGCAAGAGGAUUGCAGUUCCAUGAAAUAACCACCCCAUCCUUCCAGCCCUUAGCUGGAUGGAAGCAGCUGUAAAAUCCUUGUCUACCAACUGGCCUCAGCCCAUGCUUAUGGCCAACAGGCAGAGGAUGGAAGUGCAGCACCUCACCGGCCUGCUCAGGACCGCUCUUGAAGAGACCCAACACUCCCUGUGGCCAAGAGGCAAGAAGUGACAGGACAAGCACAGCAGCCAGGAUUUGCUGCAACAUAUUGCUUUGAUUCACUUUUCUCAUGUAUCUGAUAAAAGCUGCUGAGUGUCUUUAGGAGGGAAUAAAAUG